rnacentral:rRNA from 1 species
GACAGAGGGGGCAAGCGUUGCUCGGAAUCACUGGGCGUAAAGGGCGCGUAGGCGGGAUGGCAAAUCGGUCGUGAAAUCCUUCGGCUCAACCGAAGAACGUCGGCCGAUACUGCCGUUCUUGAGGGAUGCAGAGGAGAUUGGAAUUCCCGGUGUAGCGGUGAAAUGUGUAGAGAUCGGGAGGAACACCGGUGGCGAAGGCGGGUCUCUGGGCAUCUCCUGACGCUGAGGCGCGAAAGCGUGGGGAGCAAACGGG